rnacentral:lncRNA from 1 species
CCAAUUCCUGGUCUCCACGAACAGUCGGGUUUCGGCAUCACCCUGGGUCUUGAUGAGCUCAACUUCAAGCUACUUCACCUCGACCUUCAGUGACUUGACCUCCUCCUCGGCUUUGAUUUUUGAAAGUUGGGCAUCAUCUACCCUCCUGUUGGCCUCACUGGUCUUAUCCUCGACCUCUUUCAAAAUAUGUCGGACCUCCUGGAUCACCUCGAUGAAGCGAUCCAUAUGGUAGACGAGCUAAUAAAAAAUCAAUGAAUAAUGAUG